UACGUAGGGGGCGAGCGUUGUCCGGAAUUAUUGGGCGUAAAGAGCGUGUAGGCGGUUCGGUAAGUCUGCUGUGAAAUCCUGGGGCUCAACCCCGGGCGUGCAGCGGAUACUGCCGGGCUAGAGGGUGGUAGAGGCGAGUGGAAUUCCGAGUGUAGCGGUGAAAUGCGCAGAUAUCAGGAGGAACACCGAUGGCGAAGGCAGGUCUCUGGGCAUUAACUGACGCUGAGGAGCGAAAGCAUGGGGAGCGAACAGG
rnacentral:rRNA from 1 species